rnacentral:rRNA from 1 species
CCUACGGGUGGCUGCAGUGAGGAAUAUUGGACAAUGGAUGGAAAUCUGAUCCAGCCAUGCCGCGUGCAGGAAGACGGCCCUAUGGGUUGUAAACUGCUUUUGUAUGGGAGCAAUAAGGUCUAUGCGUAGACUGAUGAGAGUACCAUACGAAUAAGCAUCGGCUAACUCCGUGCCAGCAGCCGCGGUAAUACGGGGGAUGCAAGCGUUAUCCGGAUUUAUUGGGUUUAAAGGGUGCGUAGGCGGUUUGAUAAGUCAGCGGUGAAAUAUUUCAGCUUAACUGAAAGGGUGCCGUUGAUACUGUCAGGCUUGAAUAUGGUUGCUGUGGGUGGAAUGUGUGGUGUAGCGGUGAAAUGCUUAGAUAUCACACAGAAUAUCGAUUGCGAAGGCAGCUCACAAAGCCAUUAUUGACGCUGAUGCACGAAAGUGUGGGGAUCAAACAGGAUUAGAUACCCGAGUAGUC